rnacentral:rRNA from 11 species
UGCUUCUGGGCGUUGCGUUGGACAGUUUAGUGAACCUUGUCCCUUAGAGGAAGGAGAAGUCGUGACAAGGUUUCCG